UAGGGAAUAUUGCGCAAUGGAGGAAACUCUGACGCAGCGACGCCGCGUGGGUGACGAAGGCCUUCGGGUCGUAAAGCCCUGUCGGAAGAGAAGAAAAACGGUAUGGCUAAUAUCCAUACCGCUUGACGGUACCUUCAAAGGAAGCACCGGCUAACUACGUGCCAGCAGCCGCGGUAAUACGUAGGGUGCUAGCGUUGUUCGGAAUCAUUGGGCGUAAAGCGCGUGUAGGUGGUUAGGUAAGUUAGGUGUGAAAGCCCUCGGCUCAACCGAGGAAGUGCAUCUAAAACUACCUAGCUAGAGGACGGUAGAGGAAGGUGGAAUUCCUAGUGUAGAGGUGAAAUUCGUAGAUAUUAGGAGGAAUACCGGUGGCGAAGGCGGCCUUCUGGGCCGUUCCUGACAC
rnacentral:rRNA from 1 species